rnacentral:rRNA from 1 species
GACGAACGCUGGCGGCGUGCUUAACACAUGCAAGUCGAACGGAAAGGCCCUGCUUUUGUGGGGUGCUCGAGUGGCGAACGGGUGAGUAACAUGUGAGUAACCUGCCCUUGACUUUGGGAUAACUUCAGGAAACUGGGGCUAAUACCGGAUAGGAGCUCCUGCUGCAUGGUGGGGGUUGGAAAGUUUCGGCGGUUGGGGAUGGACUCGCGGCUUAUCAGCUUGUUGGUGGGGUAGUGGCUUACCAAGGCUUUGACGGGUAGCCGGCCUGAGAGGGUGACCGGCCACAUUGGGACUGAGAUACGGCGCAGACUCCUACGGGAGGCAGCAGUGGGGAAUAUUGCACAAUGGGCGGAAGCCUGAUGCAGCAACGCCGCGUGCGGGAUGACGGCCUUCGGGUUGUAAACCGCUUUCGCCUGUGACGAAGCGUGAGUGACGGUAAUGGGUAAAGAAGCACCGGCUAACUACGUG